ensembl:lncRNA
AACAAAUCGCAAUAUUUUUGUACGUUUUCUAUACAGAAUGACUCCUUAUCCAUAAUUCUAAGUGCAGAAAUUUUGUAAACUGAUAUAGUAAGAAAAAAUCAAAUACCAGAGUUUUUCUCAAGAAUUUUUAUUUUAACAUGAACAGAUCAAAAUUUACACACAGCAGUAACAAAACCGGAAUUAACGCCUUUGGAAAAGUGUUGUAAUGGACUGAGUGAAGUAAUUUGUCGUCUAUAAAAAUGGAAAUGACCUGAAAGCAUUUUGUCUAACUCUUACGAGCCACAUCAUGGGUUUACCACAUGCUCCUAAACAUGGAUGGGUGUGCCUCUGGCCACACAAAAUCUAUCAUUUUAAAACCGGUAAAUUGUGAUUUUUCCCUUUCAUUAAGUAAACAAUGUUGUGUCUCACUAGGAACAGCUGGCGUUAUUCCUCAUUUCUUUGGACUUAAACAUGCAGAGCUGCUGCGCUCCAAAGCUUCCCAGUUGGCCGGUUUGGUUUCCACUCUGCUGAGUGAUUCUGGAGCCGGCCCCCGCUCACUGAGGAAGAGGAGGUGACCGCUGCGCCCCGCGUGCCAAACUCCUUUCAUCUCCGUCUGAAGUCAGCAAACUGGAAGAGAGAGAUACGUUCACAUUGGAGCAUUACGGAGCCUUUGCCUGGAUACUGUGUGUGUUCAGUAUCCACAAAUAAUCCAGUUUGGUCUGAAACCACCGGUACAACCCAUACUGGGCAUUUUUUUCUGAGUUUAAAUGUAGAUCAACCAACAUGAUUUGGGUUACAAAUGAAUCUGUGAACAAUGUUAUGAAUAAUUUUGUAGGUAGUAAAAUAUAUAUCCUUGCAACAGACUAAAACAAAAGAAGCAAAGUGGUUGCCAACACUAACGAGUCUUUUGUGUACCACCAGUGCUUGUCGUCUUCUGGUCCGGUGUGGAGUGGACUGGACUCCGGUUCCUGCUGAACUGAGCCAGUGGUUGUAUAGGACUGAUUAUCAGCUCAGUAGGCACAGGAAGCCAACCCUGAAUAUCUCUGCUCGCUCUCCAACAAAGCACUGGCAAACCAUGAAAACACUUUUUACCUUGUUUUUUUGUCUGUAAUGAAGCGAAAAGGGAACGCCAACUCGAGCUCCACUAACCCCAAACCCGCCAGAAACCACACCACUUUAGGUCCAUUUAGACUGUGGCGGUUGUUGGGCUGCUAGCUGGUGAAAGGUUUGCUUCACACGGUAGAAACUUUUCCACCCAAAAUAAUUGUUACAUUGUUGGUUUAAACAAAAUGGCUUUUACACUACAAACAGAAAUAUACAUCCAUCUAAAUUACAUUCUGCCACCUUCUGUGAGAAGCAUGUAUACAUACCGCAUCAACAAUUAGAAAAGAUUCCAACGUAUGCUUUGAAAUCGAAUAAAACAGCCGUCUUAAAUACAGUUGGCAUUAAAGAGUCUUUCUAGCAGCGAGAAGAAACAACACUGUGGGCCAAAUUAGUUUAUUUUUGGUUCCUUUAUACAAUGUUGCUUGGUCCUUUAUGUGCAGAGCACCAUUUCCCCUCCCAUUAGAGCGUAAUAAAUCACCUUUUGCAUACAGGCUCAACAGGCCUUUGAUGGUCAUUACUCUUUUAACAGGCCCUAAAUAUAGGUCUAAAAAUGGCAGACUCCACAUGGCCCUCAUUUCUAAUUCAAACAUCUGUCCUCGUUUAGUCGCCAUUUUGUCGUCGUGAAUAUAGAGCGGUAUAAUACCUCCUCAAGUCUCAUAUUAUGACUGCCAAAAAAAGACACAGUUCUAAAAUUCAUCUCCAGCAAUCUGUCACGGUUUUGUUUGCGGGGUCACCAAGUACAGCUUUGCAUCACAAUCAGCUACAGUGACGUUAUUUUAAGCUUGUUUUAACGUAUCAACUUACUUUGAUUUUACAUCCUUUCUUUCGCCGUAUGUUUUAAGGGUUUCAAUUAAAGCACUUUGUUUUUUAAAAGUGCUAUAUAAAAGUUAGAGAAAAGGUAUACGUUAAGUUAAGGUACGGCAGCAUUUUAAACUUAAAAUAAUCAUACAUGAUGUAUUCUUUGCAUGGCACAGCAAGCACCAGACCUCCUUUCACCUACACACUAUGUGGACAUUUGUAAAGAAUUCAAAGAGAACAAAUCGCCACAUUUACCUUACAGAGGAUUUGUACAGUUUGUAAAACCCUUGGAGGCAAAUGUAAGAUUAAAUUGAACUGAAGACUAAAACAAAUCCGUGAGGCAGCUCUGAACAGCCCGAGAUUUAUAGAUCGCUGCAUUGGCAGACGGCCAUGCUAAAUACGAGCCUGCUCAUGUUGCUGAGCUUUGUGUGUAAAAUCGGUA